GAUGAACGCUGGCGGCGUGCCUAAUACAUGCAAGUCGAGCGAACGGACGAGAAGCUUGCUUCUCUGAUGUUAGCGGCGGACGGGUGAGUAACACGUGGAUAACCUACCUAUAAGACUGGGAUAACUUCGGGAAACCGGAGCUAAUACCGGAUAAUAUUUUGAACCGCAUGGUUCAAAAGUGAAAGACGGUCUUGCUGUCACUUAUAGAUGGAUCCGCGCUGCAUUAGCUAGUUGGUAAGGUAACGGCUUACCAAGGCAACGAUGCAUAGCCGACCUGAGAGGGGGAUCGGCGUAGGUGGAACGGUGACGCGGUCCAGACUGCUACGGGAGGCAGCAGUAGGGAAUCUUUCGCAAUGGGCGAAAGCCUGGCGGGGCAACGCCGCGGGAGUGAUGGAGGUCUUGGGAUCGUAAAAAUCGGUUAUUAGGGAAGAACAGAUGUGGAAGUAACUGGGCAGAUCGUGGCGGUACGUAGGCAGAGGGGCACGGCUAACUACGUG
rnacentral:rRNA from 1 species